GUCUAAGAGAGUAAGCUAAGCAUUGUGGAGAAAAACAAAGACAUCAUGUUUGCCCUCAAGUAGCUUCAGUUUAGAAGAAGAUGAAGUGCAAUUGUAGUGCCCAUAGAGCUAACUUGAAGUAUGACCCAUGGAUCAGCAGCAAUGGCAACAUCUGGAAGCUUGAUAGAAAUGCAGAAUCUCGGGGUCCACACUCAGACCAACUGAAAGAUCCCCAGUGUAUGUCCAGGAACAAAGCACCUGACAGUGCAAUGUGGAUCCUUAAAAAGAGGCAGAAGCAUGAAGUUUGAAGCAGUGAAU